rnacentral:tRNA from 1 species
GGGGCAUUAGCACAGCUGGGAGUGCGCUACGCUGGCAGCGUAGAGGUCGCCGGUUCGAGUCCGGUAUGCUCCA